GGUGAAAAGCACCCCGGAAGGGGAGUGAAAUAGAACCUGAAACCGUGUGCUUACAAGUAGUCAGAGCCCGUUAAUGGGUGAUGGCGUGCCUUUUGUAGAAUGAACCGGCGAGUUACGAUUUGAUGCAAGGUUAAGCAGUAAAUGUGGAGCCGUAGCGAAAGCGAGUCUGAAUAGGGCGUUUAGUAUUUGGUCGUAGACCCGAAACCAGGUGAUCUACCCUUGGUCAGGUUGAAGUUCAGGUAACACUGAAUGGAGGACCGAACCGACUUACGUUGAAAAGUGAGCGGAUGAACUGAGGGUAGCGGAGAAAUUCCAAUCGAACCUGGAGAUAGCUGGUUCUCUCCGAAAUAGCUUUAGGGCUAGCCUCAAGUGAUGAUUAUUGGAGGUAGAGCACUGUUUGGACGAGGGGCCCCUCUCGGGUUACCGAAUUCAGACAAACUCCGAAUGCCAAUUAAUUUAACUUGGGAGUCAGAACAUGGGUGAUAAGGUCCGUGUUCGAAAGGGAAACAGCCCAGACCACCAGCUAAGGUCCCAAAAUAUAUGUUAAGUGGAAAAGGAUGUGGCGUUGCCCAGACAACUAGGAUGUUGGCUUAGAAGCAGCCAUCAUUUAAAGAGUGCGUAAUAGCUCACUAGUCGAGUGACACUGCGCCGAAAAUGUACCGGGGCUAAACAUAUUA
rnacentral:rRNA from 1 species